rnacentral:rRNA from 1 species
UACGUAGGUGGCAAGCGUUGUCCGGAUUUACUGGGCGUAAAGCGUGCGCAGGCGGUUUGUUAAGUCUGUUGUGAAAUCCCCGAGCUCAACUUGGGAAUUGCAAUGGAUACUGGCAGGCUGGAGUAUGGUAGAGGAAGGUGGAAUUCCCGGUGUAGCAGUGAAAUGCGUAGAGAUCGGGAGGAACACCAGUGGCGAAGGCGGCCUUCUGGACCAAUACUGACGCUCAUGCACGAAAGCGUGGGGAGCAAACAGG